AGUACAAUCUUGAUUUCUCAGCAAGGCUUAGGAGAUUCUACUACAGCGGCUGUCCUGAGAACUAUGUGGGUGAACACUGAAGUUCACGGAGGUGUCAUUACAGUGCUCUCUAGUGGAGGGCAUCGGUAAUACACCUUACAGAGAGCUGCAGCAACUGGAUUAGUGUUAGGACCCAGUCUGCAGGAGAGCAUGCCUACUCAAAACACUAUAAAGAACCAGAAGCGUAGAAACCUAACAGGAAAGUCCAUUUUCAAAAUUGUAAAAUGAGAACAUUUGUAAUUUGUGGUAACAUUAAGAAAAUGCAGGCGUGCGCAACCACGUUCACCAAUGAAUGAGACCAGGUAUUGGGUUUCUCCCGCUUGAGAAGAUAGUAUCUGUUGUUAUUGUGGUUUCGAAAAGUAUUUCUCACAGACACUUAGAAAUAUUGAAAUCAAAACGUUAAGAUACAGGCCAUGAUUGACUAAAUAGGCAGAAAAUAAAAUUUUCUCAGGUAUGUGACUUAAUCCCUCUCGUCCUUUCCACGUCUGAGCAGCUGAUGGAGGAUUUGCAAUAACCGCUCUUUCUGCAUAGGAACCAGCAGAACUCGCUGAAAAUGGACUGAACAGAGUUCAACGACUGGAGAAUUUUAUGCCCCCCCCCUUUAUUAAUAAUUCUGCUGUCACCAAAUACGAUGAGAAUAGAGUCUCGCGCCACGCGGCAGAGAACGAAAUCCACUUCACAUCCCAUCUGAUUGCGCGUACUCCUUCAUGCAUCUGCGAUUGCGCGUACUCCAUCACGCAUUCUGCGAAUGCGCAUACUCCUUCAAGCAUCUGCCCACGUCACUGUUUCUCAUCUUCUCCGUGAAUAGUUCAUCAAAGACCCUGUUCUGCUUCGGAGUGAAGUAGUUUAUCCAAUCACCCACCACUCCUGGAAAGACAGGAAAUGUAUCAGGCAAGAAUCAGUCUCUACCCACAACACUGACGGAAGAACUCUGCCAGCUUUGCGAUCAAAUGGGAGUGUUUGGUCUCUUCUGUGAGGGCUGCAUAUUAAUUUCCACAGUUUAUAACUAUUUAUUUAGAGAAAGAUUUAAAAUAAAUAAAUAUUUUUUUCUGGAGUAGGCCAGGACGAUCUAGUCUAAAUGUGACCCAGUAGUGUGAGCACAAAGGUAGCUCAUUGGUUUGCCCCCUUGCGAGCUUGCACAGUGAGAGCUGGUCUGAGACUGCACCGUAGGAAUGGGUAGCUCACCUUAAUUUCAGAAAUGUCUUUUCUAUAGAAUGAAUAGUGGAG
rnacentral:lncRNA from 1 species